rnacentral:rRNA from 1 species
GACGAACGCUGGCGGCGUGCUUAACACAUGCAAGUCGAACGGUGAAGCGCCUUCCUUUUUGGUGGGUGUGGAUGAGUGGCGAACGGGUGAGUAACACGUGAGUAACCUGCCCCCUUCUUCUGGAUAACCGCAUGAAAGUGUGGCUAAUACGGGAUAUUCUGGGUCUGUCGCAUGAUGGGUCUGGGAAAGAUAUUGUUUCGGUGGGGGAUGGGCUCGCGGCCUAUCAGCUUGUUGGUGGGGUGAUGGCCUACCAAGGCGGUGACGGGUAGCCGGCCUGAGAGGGUGGCCGGUAACACUGGGACUGAGACACGGCCCAGACUCCUACGGGAGGCAGCAGUGGGGAAUAUUGCACAAUGGGCGCAAGCCUGAUGCAGCGACGCCGCGUGAGGGAUGGAGGCCUUCGGGUUGUGAACCUCUUUCGCCAGUGAAGCAGGCCUGCCUCGUUUGUGGGUGGGUUGACGGUAGCUGGAUAAGAAGCGCCGGCUAACUACGUG